rnacentral:rRNA from 1 species
ACGUAGGGUGCGAGCGUUGUCCGGAAUUAUUGGGCGUAAAGGGCUCGUAGGCGGUUUGUCGCGUCGGGAGUGAAAACACGGGGCUUAACUCCGUGCUUGCUUUCGAUACGGGCAGACUAGAGGCAUGCAGGGGAGAACGGAAUUCCUGGUGUAGCGGUGAAAUGCGCAGAUAUCAGGAGGAACACCGGUGGCGAAGGCGGUUCUCUGGGCAUGUCCUGACGCUGAGGAGCGAAAGUGUGGGGAGCGAACAGGAUUAGAUACCCUGGUAGUCCACACCGUAAACGUUGGGCGCUAGGUGUGGGGCCUAUUCCAUGGGUUCCGUGCCGCAGCUAACGCAUUAAGCGCCCCGCCUGGGGAGUACGGCCGCAAGGCUA